GAAUAGAAGACUACAAAUGGGGUAAUAUUGAUUUUGAAAGGUUUCAUGUUUAUAUAAUCCCACCAUGAUUCCUGAAUCCUUUCCAGUUUCCUGGUUUCUUCAUUUUGCCAUCAUAAGGCAGAAUCCUCUCAUCGAGCGACGAUCCCUUUCAAUUCUUCCUUGGCUCAUCGCUGCUGCUUAGUCGCGGAGACCGGAAUACGGAGAGGCACUGAGGUGGAGAGUCGGAGACGGAAAUCCUUGAAUCAGUCUUCAUUUCUUCAUCCUUCAAGAUUGUAAAUCCUUGGACUAAUUGGGAGUGAGGGAAAUUUGAACAAACAACUUCAUUGCAUAACUUGCACUUCAUAUCCUCAUAGGAUAUUGUCAUCAAAUUCUAAAAGAUACCCAUUUCGGAUGGCAUUUUUCAAUUCAAUAACAAGAAGCCUUGUAAGAAAAUCUCUGACCAGCCACGCAAAAACUGCUGUAAGAUGCAUGAGCAACCUGCCAGAGAAUGCAGUGUACGGUGGUCCCAAGCCACAAGACCCGAACCAGAGAACAACCCUUGCUACUCUCCGCCAGAAGCACCGCAAGGGGGAGCCCAUAACCAUGGUCACAGCCUAUGAUUACCCUUCUGCUGUGCAUCUUGACACGGCUGGGAUUGAUAUAUGUCUAGUAGGUGACUCUGCCGCUAUGGUGGUUCAUGGCCAUGACACCACUCUACCCAUCACUCUUGAUGAGAUGCUCAUGCAUUGUCGAGCUGUUGCCAAAGGAGCUAAAUGCCCUUUUCUAGUUUGUGACCUCCCUUUUGGUAGCUAUGAGUCCAGUACCACACAGGCUGUUGAUACAGCAGUAAGGGUUUUAAAGGAAGGAGCGAUAGAUGCUAUUAAGUUGGAAGCUGGUGCACCAUCAAGAAUUACAGCAGCUAAAGCAAUUGUUGAAUCUGGAAUUGCUGUGAUGGGGCAUGUUGGACUUACCCCUCAGGCCAUUAGUGUUCUUGGAGGAUUUAGGCCUCAAGGUAGAAAUGUGUGUAGUGCUGUCAAGGUUUUGGAAACUGCCUUGGCUUUCCAGGAAGCAGGGUGCUUCUCCGUUGUUUUGGAAUGUGUGCCGCCACCUGUGGCUGCUGCAACAACAUCUGCUCUUAAGAUUCCCACCAUUGGCAUUGGGGCUGGAUCAUUCUGUAGUGGUCAGGUGCUAGUUUAUCAUGAUUUGCUUGGGAUGAUGCAACAUCCACAUCAUGCCAAGGUUACUCCUAAAUUCUGUAAACAAUAUGGUCAUGUUGGAGUUGAAAUCAACAGAGCACUUCUACAAUACAAGGAAGAAGUGACAAAUGGUUCUUUCCCGGGUGCCACUUAUAGUCCAUAUAAAAUUAGCGCUGCUGACAUGGAUGGUUUCCUUCACGAACUACAGAAGUUGGGUUUUGACGACGCAGCAUCUGCAGCUGCUACUGCAGCCGAGAAGAUUCAGACACCACCAAAAUGAUCAGAGUUCCGAAAGAUGAAGAAAUAUUUAUGCAUUACGGGAGAGGCUAACGAAGAAAUUUCCUGUGGAUGCAUAUAAUAGAGCAUGCAAGGAGCUGGACGACAAUGAUAAUAACAUGCUUGAGAAGCUGUUCCCUUCCACUGAGUCAGUGUGAUAGUUGUGCCUUGCUAAACUAAAUCAAGAAGGUUCUGUUAUAAAACCACGGUCUUCGCAUUUCUUGUGACAUAACGGUCUGUUAGGUGGGAGGACCAGUGCUUGAUAUUCAUAAGGAGCUCAUCAACAUUGAGUGUAACUCCACACUGUAAUUUUCAGGAUUCGAUCUUGUGUCAUUGUUCAUAAUCUACUUGAUGGGUAAAUACCCCCAAGGACUACUGUAGAAAUAUAAUGUAUAGUCCGUGUAUUAUUGUACCCUAAAAGGUCGGGUGUCCCUUAGAAAUUGUUAAGGGUUAAAUGUAAUAUUAUAUUCCUGAAGGGUCAGGUCCUAUUUCUAUAUAAAGGACCUGACCCUCAUGUUAAUGGCAUUCUGAAUCAUUGGGACCCUUGCC